AUGAAAGUGGCAAAUUCUGCAUAUACAAAAAAACAAAAAAUUACAAAUUAUUCAAAAUCAAAAAAUCUUCUAUGAUAACUAGAAACCAAAGGAAGUGCUGGACUUUGCUAAAUAAGAAUGAAAUCCGUAUGUCGGUUCUGGGAAGACAACAGAGGGCUUUAAAACAAGUUUGAACACUAAAUAACCAUAAUCCAAAUAGAAAAGAAAUAAAGCGAUGUUUAGUUCAAAUUUUCAGUGUGUUUUUUUGACUUCAAAGAUAUUGACGAUAAUAUUGACGACGCUGGCAGUAACGGCGAGGAUGGCUAUCAGAAAUUAAUACGAAGGUGUUGUCAAAAAUUCUAUACACGUUAUUAACAGACUUCCACGAUGAAGGGGCCUCCGUUGAAAACCACAAUACAUUGCUGAUUCUUUCUGUUUUAAAAUAAUUGGCUAGGUCGUUAAAAAUAUCCAACAAUGAUAAAGAUUAUACCAUCCGGCAUUACAUGUAUUGAAAAAAUCAUGUGUGACGUAAAAUGGUGCACAUAUUUAUUGAUCGAAUAUAUUAGUUUACAAUUUAGACUGCACACUUUAUAGUGCCAAU